ACAUAAGUAAGCACGUGGGAUAUGGGUGCAGUACCGCUGAGAAAUACUUUGUUGAAGUGUGAGCUGCACACUGGGCACAGCUAGAAAUAGCAUUGCAUAAGGGAUAUCACUUUGGGAGAAUUAGUUGAGAAACAGUAUCAGUAACAUCUUGAUGUGCAGUCUUGAAGGGAGUUUCUUCUACCUUCACCUACUUUUGUUUUGAAUUGAACUGCUCUUGUAUAAUUGUGAUUGCCUGCACUGAAUGAAUUGUUGAUUUUG
rnacentral:lncRNA from 1 species